rnacentral:rRNA from 1 species
UACGUAGGGGGCAAGCGUUGUCCGGAUUUAUUGGGCGUAAAGAGCGUGUAGGCGGUCAGUUAGGUCCGUUGUGAAAACUCGAGGCUCAACCUCGAGACGCCGAUGGAAACCAUCUGACUAGAGUCCGGAAGAGGAGAGUGGAAUUCCUGGUGUAGCGGUGAAAUGCGCAGAUAUCAGGAAGAACACCCGUGGCUAAGGCGGCUCUCUAGUACGGUACUGACGCUGAGACGCGAAAGCGUGGGGAGCGAACAGG